rnacentral:tRNA from 1 species
ACUCGGUUAGCAAAAUUUGGCGUUGCACCUCCUUUACACGGAGGCUAGAAACUGGUUCGAUUCCAGUACCGAGUACCA